GGAUGAGAGUUCUCACAAUUAAAAAAGAGGACUCUAUGACUAGAAAGGGUUGAACACGGACUUGUAACACUGAUAUGUGAAGGACUCAAACAGAAGGUGGAGGGAUUACUGUGGACAGAGCACUUGGCGACAGCAGUCUAUAUUCUACAAGGCUCAGUUUCAGGAGCCCAGUUCCUGGAGUGAGCAGCUGGAAUGACCAGAAAGCCAAUCCAGAGACACUGGAAAGAUGACAGUGCAGCCUCUUGAGCCAGGAACAGCACCUCCGCAACCAUUUCCCCAUUGCAGAGAGCAGCUGGCGCAGUGCCAGCCAGGCAGGUGGCAAGCCAGCAGCCAAGCAUUGUUUUAUUAA
rnacentral:lncRNA from 13 species